rnacentral:rRNA from 1 species
CAUGCAGUCGACGAUGAACCCGCUUGCGGGGGAUUAGUGGCGAACGGGUGAGUAACACGUGAGUAACCUGCCCUUAACUCUGGGAUAAGCCUUGGAAACGGGGUCUAAUACUGGAUAUUGACUUUUCCUCGCAUGGGGAUUGGUUGAAAGAUUUAUUGGUUUUGGAUGGACUCGCGGCCUAUCAGCUUGUUGGUGAGGUAAUGGCUCACCAAGGCGACGACGGGUAGCCGGCCUGAGAGGGUGACCGGCCACACUGGGACUGAGACACGGCCCAGACUCCUACGGGAGGCAGCAGUGGGGAAUAUUGCACAAUGGGCGAAAGCCUGAUGCAGCGACGCCGCGUGAGGGAUGACGGCCUUCGGGUUGUAAACCUCUUUCAGUAGGGAACAAGGCCAGUGUUUAGCUGGUUGAGGGUACUUGCAGAAGAAGCGCCGGCUAACUACGUGCCAGCAGCCGCGGUAAUACGUAGGGCGCAAGCGUUAUCCGGAAUUAUUGGGCGUAAAGAGCUCGUAGGCGGUUUGUCGCGUCUGCCGUGAAAGUCCGGGGCUCAACCCCGGAUCUGCGGUGGGUACGGGCAGACUAGAGUGAUGUAGGGGAGACUGGAAUUUCCUGGUGUAGCGGUGAAAUGCGCAGAU